GUCUACGGCCAUACCACUUAGAAAGCACCGGUUCUCGUCCGAUCACCGAAGUUAAGCUCAGUAGGGCGCGGUAAGUACUUGGAUGGGUGACCGCUUCAGGUAACAAUGCCGAAUCUC
rnacentral:rRNA from 2 species